rnacentral:rRNA from 1 species
GUCGAACGGUAACAGGAUGUGCUUGCACAUCGCUGACGAGUGGCGGACGGGUGAGUAAUGCUUGGGAACUUGCCUUUGCGAGGGGGAUAACAGUUGGAAACGACUGCUAAUACCGCAUAAUGUCUUCGGACCAAACGGGGCUUAGGCUCCGGCGCAAAGAGAGGCCCAAGUGAGAUUAGCUAGUUGGUAAGGUAAUGGCUUACCAAGGCGACGAUCUCUAGCUGUUCUGAGAGGAAGAUCAGCCACACUGGGACUGAGACACGGCCCAGACUCCUACGGGAGGCAGCAGUGGGGAAUAUUGCACAAUGGGGGAAACCCUGAUGCAGCCAUGCCGCGUGUGUGAAGAAGGCCUUCGGGUUGUAAAGCACUUUCAGUUGUGAGGAAAAGUUAGUAGUUAAUACCUGCUAGCCGUGACGUUAACAACAGAAGAAGCACCGGCUAACUCCGUGCCAGCAGCCGCGGUAAUACGGAGGGUGCGAGCGUUAAUCGGAAUUACUGGGCGUAAAGCGCACGCAGGCGGUUUGUUAAGCUAGAUGUGAAAGCCCCGGGCUCAACCUGGGAUGGUCAUUUAGAACUGGCAGACUAGAGUCUUGGAGAGGGGAGUGGAAUUCCAGGUGUAGCGGUGAAAUGCGUAGAUAUCUGGAGGAACAUCAGUGGCGAA